rnacentral:misc_RNA from 1 species
UGGAGUUGUCCCUGGACCCUCAUCCGUCAGGAGAAACAUUUAUUUGGAUGUUUUCUGGGCGGGGGGCGGACUACGGGGCAUGUGUUGGCCUCCCGUUUGCUAAUCGACGGUUGGUUCAAAAUUCGGGGUCCUUUCUGACAUGCGUCACCGAACGGUUGAUGGAAACAACGUUUGCCCAGUGUUGGCAUGUCAGNCGCCGCAAUCCCAUGGCUUCGUUGGCACACUCCGAGGGAGU